rnacentral:lncRNA from 1 species
AAAGUAGUGCGAGUGCGGAAAAUAAAUAAAAGUAGUGCGAGUGCGGAAAAUAAAUAAAGCAAAGCGAGUUCGGGAAAAUAAAUAAAGUAAAGACAAUGCGGGAAAUAAAUAAAGUAAAGCGAGUGCGGGAAAUAAAUAAAGUAAAGACAGUGCGGGAAAUAAAUAAAGUAAAGCGAGUGCGGGAAAUAAAUAAAGUAAAGCGAGUGCGGGAAAUAAAUAAAGUAAAGACAGUGCGGGAAAU